CUGUAAUCAACCUGUUCCCUCAGACAGCUGUAACCACACCUGGAGCAUCUGCAUCUGUGGCGGGUAGACAGAAAAGGCAGGUGAAGCAGCCUUUACAACACGGAUAAAACACACAGCAGAUGAUGCUGCAGCCGGACAACCCUACUAACAUCUGUGUCCCCCUGGAGGAGGAAGGAGUGCAGGAUGUGAAGCAGGCCCUGCCAAAUAACCCUUAGGUCCUUUCCGUCAGAGUCAAGCCAAACAAAGGAGCAGAGAUAUAAACUGAGUCUGAAAAAACAAGCAGAUUUUUAAAUUAUAUUCUCUAAACCUGUGAAUUAGUUUUAAUGCAACAUGUUGUUUUUAUUGUAAAAGAAUCCUUUUGAGAAAGUUAAUUUUUAAAUCCUUAUUUUCUUGUUUAUUUUCUUGUUGUUUCAGUAUUAACAUAAACUGUGUAAAUGAGAUAAUCUAUUUCUAAAUGCCAUCAUGCUAGUUCAUCAAAUGAACUGUGUUACACCAUACAGUAGGUGUUACUUAACACAAUGUUACAGUUUUGUUAAUUGCCACAUAUUUGUUGUGAAAAUUGGAAAAAGAAGGUUUUCAAACACCUCCAAAAAACAGCAGAUAUGUGGUGUACAGAAAAUGUGUGAUGUUAUGCAGAAAAACAGAAAACCAGUUCUUUUAAUAAAUAUAUUCUGAUUUC